UAGGGAAUCUUCCACAAUGGACGCAAGUCUGAUGGAGCAACGCCGCGUGAGUGAAGAAGGUCUUCGGAUCGUAAAGCUCUGUUGUUGGUGAAGAGGAUAGAGGCAGUAAAUGGUCUUUAUUUGACGGUAAUCAACCAGAAAGUCACGGCUAACUACGUGCCAGCAGCCGCGGUAAUACGUAGGUGGCAAGCGUUGUCCGGAUUUAUUGGGCGUAAAGCGAGCGCAGGCGGAAUGAUAAGUCUGAUGUGAAAGCCCACGGCUCAACCGUGGAACUGCAUCGGAAACUGUCAUUCUUGAGUGCAGAAGAGGAGAGUGGAACUCCAUGUGUAGCGGUGGAAUGCGUAGAUAUAUGGAAGAACACCAGUGGCGAAGGCGGCUCUCUGGUCUGCAACUGACGCUGAGGCUCGAAAGCAUGGGUAGCGAACAGGAUUAGAUACCCUGGUAGUCCAUGCCGUAAACGAUGAGCGCUAGGUGUUGGGGACUUUCCGGUCCUCAGUGCCGCAGCAAACGCAUUAAGCGCUCCGCCUGGGGAGUACGACCGCAAGGUUGAA
rnacentral:rRNA from 1 species